AGAGUUUGAUCCUGGCUCAGAUUGAACGCUGGCGGCAUGCCUUACACAUGCAAGUCGAACGGUAACGCGGGGCAACCUGGCGACGAGUGGCGAACGGGUGAGUAAUAUAUCGGAACGUGCCCAGUAGUGGGGGAUAGCCCGGCGAAAGCCGGAUUAAUACCGCAUGAGACCUGAGGGUGAAAGCGGGGGAGCGCAAGACCUCGCGCUAUUGGAGCGGCCGAUAUCAGAUUAGGUAGUUGGUGGGGUAAAAGCCUACCAAGCCGACGAUCUGUAGCUGGUCUGAGAGGACGACCAGCCACACUGGGACUGAGACACAGCCCAGACUCCUACGGGAGGCAGCAGUGGGGAAUUUUGGACAAUGGGCGCAAGCCUGAUCCAGCCAUGCCGCGUGCGGGAAGAAGGCCUUCGGGUUGUAAACCGCUUUUGUCAGGGAAGAAAUCUUCUGGGCUAAUACCUCGGGAGGAUGACGGUACCUGAAGAAUAAGCACCGGCUAACUACGUGCCAGCAGCCGCGGUAAUACGUAGGGUGCGAGCGUUAAUCGGAAUUACUGAGCGUAAAGCGUGCGCAGGCGGUCUUGCAAGACAGGUGUGAAAUCCCCGGGCUUAACCUGNGAACUGCACUUGUGACUGCAAGGCUGGAGUACG
rnacentral:rRNA from 1 species